rnacentral:lncRNA from 1 species
UGAAGUGAGAGAUAUUGAGGUUUAAGCGGGUCAAGGUCUCAGAAAGUAAAAUUUUAGGUCUAGUGAGGGUUUUUAAGAUUUCAUGCAAUCUACCAAUUGGAUUGGAAUAAAACUUAUGUGAGAGAGUAUUAGACUUGUUUUUCUAUGCCCAUGAGAAAUUUGAAACCAAUCAAAUGAUGCAAAGAAGAGAAAUUGUCUUUAGAAGGUUGGCAUCAAGAUUGAAGAAGGAGGCCGGCUAACACCCGAACACAUUUUUGAAGUUUUCGCCAAUUUGGUAACUCCGAUCCUUUUUAAAUUUUUUUGUGUUUGUUUUAAACUUGAUUUUUAAGAAGUUUUAAAAUUUUGAAUUGAGAUCGACGGUUUAUUCAUUAGAUAUUGAAGUUUAAAUCUGUCAUAGAAAUUACUAGGAUUUGGAUUAGGGUUUGGCUAGGGUUCGAUUUAGGGUUUGAUUUAGAGUUUAGGGUUUGGAUUAGAGUUUGGUUAGGAUUUGAUUAAGAUUAGGUUAGGAUUUGAUUUAAGAUUUAGAUUAGGGUUUAGAUUAGGAUUUAGUUAGGGUUUGAUUUAGGAUUUGGAUUAGGAUUUGGAUUAGGGUUUAAGGUUUGGUUAGGGUUUAGGGUUGGAUUAGGGUUUGGGUUAGGAUUUAGGAUUUGGUUAGGGUUUGAUUUAGGAUUUGGAUUAGGAUUUGGAUUAGGGUUUAGGAUUUGAUUAGGAUUUGAUUUAGGAUUUGGAUUAGGGUUUGAUUUAAGGUUUGGUUUAGGAUUUAAGGUUUGGAUUAGGAUUUAGGAUUGGAUUAGAAUUUGGAUUAGGAUUUAGGAUUUGAUUUAGGGUUUAGGAUUUGAAAUAGGAUUCGAUUUAGGGUUUAAUUUAAGGUUUGUUUAGGAUUUGACUUAGGGUUUAGGAUUUAUUAGAGUUUAAGAUUUGAUUAGGUUUGGUCUAAAGUUUGAAUGAAAUUCAAUAGGGUUUUAACUAGAAUUAAAUUAAGAUUGAAUUGACAUAUAUUUGAGUAAUAUUUGUGUUCAUUUUAAUAUUUCUUUAAGAAUUUUAUUGUUUGUUUGAAAUUUCUUUGAGUUGUUUUGAAUUUGAUUACGUUUGUUUACCAUUAUUAUAGUCUAAUUAGAGCAUUGUUAGUAUUCUAUUAGAAUUAGGAUUUUGUUAUCGCAAUUUCUAUUCUUUCUUCUACAGCCAUGUAUCCAGAGCAUUCUCAAACAAGACUUCACAUAUUACGACACCAUUCUG